UACGUAGGGUGCAAGCGUUGUCCGGAUUUAUUGGGCGUAAAGAGCUCGUAGGCGGUUCGAUAAGUCGGACGUGAAAUCUCCACGCUCAACGUGGAGGGGCCGUUCGAUACUGUCGUGACUCGAGUCCGGUAGGGGAGUGUGGAAUUCCCGGUGUAGCGGUGAAAUGCGCAGAGAUCGGGAGGAACACCCGUAGCGAAGGCGGCACUCUGGGCCGGUACUGACGCUGAGGAGCGAAAGCGUGGGGAGCAAACAGG
rnacentral:rRNA from 1 species